GCAACGUUCCCCGUGCAAUUCAUACAGUUUAUGAUCGUCUUUGGCUCAUGGUGGUUGGCUAUAACCAGACUGCACCGAAUCCCAUGGAAGGUGUGAUGUGAGCACCUGGCCUCUGAGUCCCUGUGGGACCAGCUGUUCACGCACGGGCCGGCUCUCUCACUGCUGAGGUACGGGAGAGAG